AUACGUAGGGUGCAAGCGUUAAUCGGAAUUACUGGGCGUAAAGCGUGCGCAGGCGGUUUUGUAAGACAGAGGUGAAAUCCCCGGGCUCAACCUGGGAACUGCCUUUGUGACUGCAAGGCUAGAGUACGGCAGAGGGUGAUGGAAUUCCGCGUGUAGCAGUGAAAUGCGUAGAUAUGCGGAGGAACACCGAUGGCGAAGGCAUUCCCCUGGGCCUGUACUGACGCUCAUGCACGAAAGCGUGGGGAGCAAACAGGAUUAGAUACCCUGGUAGACCACGCCCUAAACGAUGUCAACUGGUUGUUGGGUCUUCAUUGACUCAGUAACGAAGCUAACGCGUGAAGUUGACCGCCUGGGAAGUACGGCCGCAAGGUUGAUACUCAAAUGAAUUGACGGGG
rnacentral:rRNA from 1 species